CCUCUCACUCUCUCUACCCCCUCUCUUUUUCUCUACCUCUCUUCCCCUCUACCUCUUCAUCCUCCUCCCUCCACCCCUCUCUCCCAGUCCCAUUCCUCUCUCCCUAUACUUACCUAAUCACAGAUCAUUAGUAGCCAUGACAUUGUGAUUGUUUUUAUAUUAAAUGACUGCUAUCCUAGUUAUCAGAUUUGGAUGAAAUAGUUAUCAGCUGGAUGGUGAAGCCACUAUUUUAUGGAACUGCGUCCCAAACACCACCCUGUGUUCUAUAUAGUGUACUUGAUCAGGGCCCUAUUCCCUAUAUAGUGGACUUGUUUGUCACGUUCUCUCAUCAGAAGAGUUUCUUAGAUCCCAAAUUAUACCCUAUUCCCUAUAUAGAACACUACUAUAGACCAGAGCCCUAUUCCCUAUAUAGUACACUAAUUUUGACCAGAGCCCUAUUCCCUAUAUAGUACACUACUGUUGACCAGGGCCAUAUUCCCUAUAUAGUGCAUUACUUUAGAUCAGAGGCCUGUGGGGAAUCGGGGGGCAAUUGGGACGCAGCCUGUAUGUGAAACUGGUCAGUUUUGAAAUGUUUCUGCGGUUCUUAUUGGUUGUCUGAUUGUCUGACCAUGUCUGUGGUUGUUAUGGUUACAGACUGUUUUGGUUGUUGUUUCUCUGUUGUUUAUCUCUCUUUUUGUGGUUUAACUGUCUGUGGUCAGGUUCUGGCCAAUCAGAUGGCUCUGUGGUCAGGUUCUGGCCAAUCAGAUGGCUCUGUGGUCAGGUUCUGGCCAAUCAGAUGGCUCUGUGGUCAGGUUCUGGCCAAUCAGAUGGCUCUGUGGUCAGGUUCUGGCCAAUCAGAUGGCUCUGUGGUCAGGUUCUGGCCAAUCAGAUGGCUCUGUGGUCAGGUUCUGGCCAAUCAGAUGGCUCUGUGGUCAGGUUCUGGCCAAUCAGAUGGCUCUGUGGUGGUGUUGUGACUACUGCUGUUUAACUUCUCCUGGAGGACCCCAGGUGUUUCUGUCCGGCCCAGGAUUCAAUCAAAGGCGCAUUGUGGAUUAUGAGCAAACCACACUAGACUGUUCAAUCUAAUGUUCAGCUGACAUCCGCAGCGUUUACCAUGACAACCAGAGGAAUGAGCUGGUUAACGGUGCAUCGCCGACUGGCGUCGUGGACAGUUCACCUUUGGUUGAAUCCCAGCCGUCUCAUUCAGACAUGGGACACCAAAUCAUGUAUCAAUUACAUGUCCCAAAAUGGCACCCUAUUCCCUAUAUAGUCCCCUACCUUUGACCAGAGGCCCACGGGGGGGGUAACGGGAGGCCCACGGGGGGGGUAACGGGAGGCCCACGGGGUGGUAACGGGAGGCCCACGGGGGAGGCAGUCUGUCAGCCCUCCAGGUCUAUUUUGACCACUCAGGAGGUAUGGAGACCACAGGGGAAUAGGGGCCCACAGGGGAGGCAGUCUGUCUGCCCUCCAGGUCUAGUUUGACCUCUCAGGAGGUAUGGAGACCACAGGGGAAUAGGGGCCCACAGGGGAGGCAGUCUGUCUGCCCUCCAGGUCUAGUUUGACCUCUCAGGAGGUAUGGAGACCACAGGGGAAUAGGGGCCCACAGGGGAGGCAGUCUGUCAGCCCUCCAGGUCUAUUUUGACCACUCAGGAGGUAUGGAGACCACAGGGGAAUAGGGGCCCACAGGGGAGGCAGUCUGUCUGCCCUCCAGGUCUAGUUUGACCUCACAUCUCCCUGGUUAAAUGGAACUGGACUCGUCACUCGCUGCUUCUCAAUGUUUUAUGGAAUAUCUGUAUGUUAUUAUAUCAUCACAUUUUAAAACUACUUAUGUGUUGACCUCUAAGUACCCUGUGAACUAUUUUGAUUGAGGAAAAAAUAAAAAUAAUAAAUAGAUUUGUCAAA